rnacentral:lncRNA from 1 species
CACUUAUAGUUCUGCAAAAAUAGGAGAGGGAAAAGAGGGGUGAGUAUUAAUACUCAGUGAAGCGAUUCUAGGCCAGUCUCCCCCAUGAGCUUUUAUACCGCUCAAUGCGAAACGAGAACCGACUAGUCACUACACCCAUUUCUUAACUAACUAUUAAGGAUUUAUUUCACAAAACAAACAGUGCAAUGAACUCAGUCAUCGCUCAAUUCACACAUUUCAGUUUAUUAUUUAAGACUCCAUUCAUCCUAUAACUCUAGGACCUACACAGCUCAAGCGGACCAACCCUCCCCUUUUCUUGCUGCAUCCCUAUGAGGUCGCCUGCCCUGGUACACCCAGCAUCCGGUUCCCUUGGAUGUAGUCCAUACCCCUUGCAGUGUAUUACGACCCCUUUCCGCCAAGACUCGGCGUGACUCAAUCUUACCGGCGCCUCUAUUCUUACUUGCCGUUUUUGAACGCUACGGCCGCCGCGUUUUCCCAUACACCCCACCAGUCCCUCGGUGGUUCGUAUUCCAUUUCUAUUCAUUUUCCAUACUCCCCACCAGUCCCUCGGUGGUUCGUAUUCCAUUUCUUAACUUUUCCUUUUUCUUAUCAUUUCCUUUUUCCUUAAACCCUUAGACUCUUUCUUACUUUCCUUUUUAGACGCCACCCGUUCUCGGUGUCACACUCAAUCCAUUCAACAGUCAUUCAUAGGUUUCCUAUCAUUCAUCUAACAGACCGGUUAACAGUUCUCUUAUUACCCUACGUUCAUUUCUUUAUAACCAUCCUAGCUCUCAAUCACAACCACAGGUCUUCAACCAAUUAAACAAUCAAUCAAUCAUCAACCCAGUUUAUUUAGAAUCUUAAAUCAGUACGAGGGUUCUAAUGCAAUAUGGUCUAUCAUCCUAACAACAAACAAGAUCUAAUCAAUCCUAGCAACCCAUUCAACGAUAUAAAAGAACAUAGAACAGAUCUGGGUAGAACACCUCACCUUAGCCUAGAUCUGGUUGGAUCUGAGAUGCAGGAGAGGUGAGAUCUGAGAUCGACGACCCACACGGCUACCGCCACCACGCGCGGCUGCUCACGGCGAGAAGAGAGAGACGCGGCCGAGAGGGUGAGAAGGAAACGCGGCGAGGAGAGAGAGAGAGAGAAGAGACGCGGCGAAGAGAGAGAAGGAGGAGAGAGGCGGCGCGAGGAGAGAGAGAGAGUUGACGGCUAGGGCUUCCAGUCUCUGGGAAUUCUCUGCAGGGCUUCGCUUCUAGAUUUCUGAUGAGAGAAAAAGAAGUGGAGGCUUGCUUUUAUAGGGGGAAGAGAAAGGGAAAACCCUAGGGUUUUCUAGUUGGGCUGUAGAGAAACCCAUUAGCUUUUAAAAAUUUUAAUUGGGCUGGUUUUGGGGUGUUACAAUUCUCCCCCUCUUAUUCGGAAUUCGUCCCGAAUUCCAAACCUUCAGUUCGUACUUAACAUCCCAAAACAAGGGCGAGUUUCCAAACACAAUCAAGGGAAGCACGAAAGAGACGUCCUACUUGCUCAAGAUCAUUUAAAACCAACAAUGAAUUUAAUAAAUGAAAUGGAGUAGGACUACAACGAAUAAAUAGGUCUCAAGGUAUCGCCAAAAUCCGCGAUUAACCUCAUAACAAGAAUGAAAAGCUAAAAACCAUAGGAAAUGAAGAAAACCGUGUCCUACUCCUACUAGUUAACUCAGGAAUCACAACUAGCCACUACGAACUGGAGACUUCUGCUCCCCUUCCGGCUUAGGACCAGCCGCGCGGCCACUCCCGGUCGACGAUGUCGGCUCCUCUUCCCACUCUGAGUCCUCUGAUGGAUCCUCUUCCACCUCUACGUCCUCCUCAGAGCUCGAGAUAGCGACGACCCGACGAGUAAGUGUCCGUUUAGCCUCCAUUGCCUGACCGGCCAUCCGGUUCACCAAGGCGAAUUCCCAUGGUUCCAACACACCAAUCAGCUUGCCCUGAAUCUCCUCGCGGAGUCCUGCCGUAUACCACCGGCACCAAUCCUCCGCUGUCUUGGGCUUGCAUCUUUUGGCUGACUCCAGGAAUUCCUCUGUGUACUCCCGGACUGAGCGCGGUCCUUGCCUGGCCUGCGUCAAUGUUCCACACCGACAUUUUCCGGUUAUGCUCCUCAGACUCGCUGCAUCAAUGCUCGGAAUCUUCCUUGGGCGUCCACGUUUCCUCGUUGGUACACUGUCUUCCAUCCUGAUCGGUCCCGGACCUUCCCUGGUCGGUCCCGUCUUCCUUGGGCGCCCUCGGCCCCUUGUGGCCGGUGUCGUGUCCACUUCAGGUGCAAACUGGAAAGUCCCCUGACCCUGGUACAGUCGCCUGUACUCGGCUGCCCGCUGGAAAUGGGGCAUCAAAAUCCGACGCCUCACGGUCGUCUCCUGAAUGGGAGCAUUCGGCGGCUCCGCGAACACCAUUUCCUCUUCGUCUGGGAAGAGUGCAGGUACCACAUCGCCCCAAGCGUCACGGUAGGGCUUGCGGGCGUACGCCCUUGUCCCUUUUGGUCCAUAGCGCAUGCGUCUUUCUCCGAGCUCAUGAUGCACUGGUGAAGACAUCCUGCAGCGUAAAAACAAGAUCUGAUCAGAACAUAAUAGUAGACAUGCAUAGAUGGCAGUUUUCAAUCAAUUCUCAAACUAGUGCAGCUUUAACAUUCCAUGAAUAAUAUCCCCGGAGUGGCUCCUAUUGUCCCUUUCUGCUCCAAGAUGAUCCUUAUUACCGUCAGCCUUUUUACCCUAUGAAGAUCCAAUUUCCUUAUCAGUAUUUCGCAUUUUGCUCCAUGAUGGCCCUCCAUCACCCUUUUUACCCCAAGAUGAUCCUCCGUUAUCCUUUUUACCCCAAGAUGAUCCUCCAUCAUCCUUUUUACCCCAAGAUGAUCCUCAGCCUAGUCCCCAUAAUCUGAAAUCGGUUUUCUCCCACUGUCUCGUCCGUCCGUCCCUUAGCCGCCCCAGUUUGCUCCUUCCUCGUCGGCGGGCCCAAGCCCUGGUGGUGGGACCCGCGCCCAUACUUCUCUUUUUUUUUUUUUUUUUUUUUUUUUUUUUUUUUAUGGAACGAGUUUGACUGUUAUAUCGGAAUGCCAGAAGUCCAUUUCUUUGCAGGGUUUAAUUCCUCCGUGAAGCUGCGCACACCUCGGCCUUGUGUCCGACUCUCCUUCCCCGGCCUCCCCGGCCCGGUGUGGGGCGGUGUCGCCCGCGAGACGCUUCCCCCAUGCUCGUAUGUCCGGCUUUCCAUUCCUCCUUAACUUGGCGUGCUAGGCGACUAAUCCCUCUGUAUACUUGCCUUACAACUCCUUGUUACCCAUUCCUGAACCUCUGAAACUCCACUACACUGCGGUACGAGGGCUUUUUGGUUGAUCUGAUCUUGGCCGGAGACUCUGAGCUGAUCGAAUUCUCCUUCAACAUUAACUAUGGCGGUCGAUCAGAACCAUAAGGGAAAUGGGCAAUAGUGGAAAUGCUGAUCCCUUAAGUUAGUAUUAAGGGACCUUAACCUGGCUCUGAUACCAAUUGAAACACCCGUCCCUCCCCAUUUCCAACCGGGGUUCCAGGGCGUGGGGUUUAGGACACACAUGUCUACUUUUCCGACAUCUCCGUGUGUCCCGUUUCUGGUCCCAUGAGUUUCAGGUGCAUUUCCUUCUUUACCGUCGACAUUUCCACUUAUAGUUCUGCAAAAAUAGGAGAGGGAAAAGAGGGGUGAGUAUUAAUACUCAGUGAAGCGAUUCUAGGCCAGUCUCCCCCAUGAGCUUUUAUACCGCUCAAUGCGAAACGAGAACCGACUAGUCACUACACCCAUUUCUUAACUAACUAUUAAGGAUUUAUUUCACAAAACAAACAGUGCAAUGAACUCAGUCAUCGCUCAAUUCACACAUUUCAGUUUAUUAUUUAAGACUCCAUUCAUCCUAUAACUCUAGGACCUACACAGCUCAAGCGGACCAACCCUCCCCUUUUCUUGCUGCAUCCCUAUGAGGUCGCCUGCCCUGGUACACCCGGCAUCCGGUUCCCUUGGAUGUAGUCCAUACCCCUUGCAGUGUAUUACGACCCCUUCCCGCCAAGACUCGGCGUGACUCAAUCUUACCGGCGCCUCUAUUCUUACUUGCCGUUUUUGAACGCUACGGCCGCCGCGUUUUCCCAUACACCCCACCAGUCCCUCGGUGGUUCGUAUUCCAUUUCUAUUCAUUUUCCAUACUCCCCACCAGUCCCUCGGUGGUUCGUAUUCCAUUUCUUAACUUUUCCUUUUUCUUAUCAUUUCCUUUUUCCUUAAACCCUUAGACUCUUUCUUACUUUCCUUUUUAGACGCCACCCGUUCUCGGUGUCACACUCAAUCCAUUCAACAGUCAUUCAUAGGUUUCCUAUCAUUCAUCUAACAGACCGGUUAACAGUUCUCUUAUUACCCUACGUUCAUUUCUUUAUAACCAUCCUAGCUCUCAAUCACAACCACAGGUCUUCAACCAAUUAAACAAUCAAUCAAUCAUCAACCCAGUUUAUUUAGAAUCUUAAAUCAGUACGAGGGUUCUAAUGCAAUAUGGUCUAUCAUCCUAACAACAAAC